GUCAUUUUUCGUAUCUCUGGACCAGUAGGUGGCACUGCGCCGAAACGCAGCACAUAACCUCAGGUCAUGCUUGUGACAUGACAUGGACCAAGUUUGGUCUGAAUACGAUAAAGCGUCAAUUUUCACAAGCGCUACGCACGUUUUUCGAAAACAGUUUGACAAAUCAACUUGAAUUCCACAACAUUUUGUCGGUAUGAUCUGAAGAUGACCUGAUUCAAUUUUUGUAGCAACGUCCUAGGAGGAGUUUCUACAAUGGCGGGAAAAGUUCUAAUUCAAAAUGGCGGGAAAAGUUUGUUUCUAGCCCUUACGGUUCAAAAGUUAUUAGCAUAAAUGUAAGUGCAGGUUUGGACAGUUGGUGGCGCUAGAGUGAUUGAGUUAGAGACUCCAAAUUUGCUAUGAUGACAGUUCAGACUGGCCUCUAUAAGUGUGCCAAAUUGUAUAACUUUCCCGCAGGCAGUUAUGGGCUGCAAUAGACUUCCAGUGCAGAAGAAGAACGGUAACGGUUAUAAUAGGUGCCUACACACCUUCAGUGCUUAAAUAUACAGUGUAUAUAUACAGUAUAGUAUUACUAUUCUAUUCUGUUUGAUCCUGUUUUGCUGUGUUUGAGUCUGCAGCUGUCACAGAGACUCUCAGGACAUCUGUUUGAGUGAUAUCUGUCAGCUCUUGUGCAUGUUUGUGGUUUCAGCAGUGACCUCGUGACCCCUGGCGUGACCUGUCUGCUCCACUGUGUGUUUCCACGAUCACUCACCUGGAAGUGAGAGCAGCCGUCGGCAGCACAGAGGGACGAUGCCCAGCUCGCAGCAGAGGACUGACUUUUGAUGUGAUCCGCGGAGCCAGAGCUUGGGUUCAGGGAAACAUUUGUCUGCAAUCGUUUCCAGAUCUGAAAGUAAAGAUAAUUAAACACCUUUCAAACCAGAUGAAUGUGCUAUAGAACAUCAGGGUUCAGCUCAUAUUCACUGCAGCCUAUAUGAUCAACGCUUGUGGAGGUCAGAGAAAAGGUGUAAGAAAAUAGGACACUCAUCAGUAUCCGGCCGUUAUCUUUCCAUCUCUGUCUCUCCAUCUCUGUUUCUCUCUAUCUUUAUAAUCUCUCUCCUCAUCUCAUCCCUCGUUCCCAGUGUAACCGUAUUCUCUGUCUCUGCCGUCGGCUGCUUUUCACUCUCAGUAAUUGAGCUGAUGAUUAUGAUGAUGAUAUCUGAUGCGUAUCUCGAUUUCGGGAUGCUAAAUCCAUCCUGUCAGUUCAUUUAGGAUUCACCGAGCUCACUGUUUCCGAUGCUGUCAAGGAGAGAAGCACGAAUAACUCCGGUUUGCAGGAUUCACAGAGCUCAUUAUAUCCAUGCUGUCGAAGAGAAAAGCACAUUUGCAGGAUGCAUGUGUCGUUCCACAUAAGACGAGGCACUCGUGCACUCUUCAGAAGCAUUGUUUUCCUCCACUCUUUCUCUCUGGAUGUACAGAAACACAAUAAGAUUUCCCAGAGCUGAAAGAGACACUUUGAUUAAGCUGCUAUCAGCGAGCCGGUCUGUGGCGUGGGAGUCGCUCUGACCCUGAAGCCAGCGAGAAUCAGCCUGAGAGACGCUCACCUGCUCCGGUGUGACGUCUCUACCUUAUCGGCCUGUUCGCUUGCACAGAUAGGACUUUAAUUAACAUCUGCAGUGCACUGUUGGCUUUUUCAUAAAUCAGCUGACAAUUGUAAAAGGGUCAAAAGUUGAAUUUGAAUGGAAAAGAGAGUCAUUCCUGUUAUGCAAAACUGAUUGAACUUUCACUUUAACAAUGGUUUGUUGUAAUUUAAAGUAUAUAUAGUAUA